AACGUGUACUUUCGCCCUGCGAUGGGCCGCACAUUUUCGCCGCCAGUCUUUUGCUCCUGUUUCAGGUAUGCGUGUGCAUUGUAAACUUGUCUGACUGAACUGAUUAUAAGAAAUGCACGUCUACUGACCGAGCGCAGUGGCUCACGUCUGUAAUCUGAGCACUUUGGGAGGCCGAGGUGGGUGGAUCACUAGGUCAGGAGUUCGAGACUCAGCCUGGCCAAUAUGGUGACACCCCGUCUCUACUAAAAAUACAAAAAUUAGCCGGGCGUGGUGGCGCGCGCCUGUAGCUACUCAGGAGGCAGAGGCAGAAGAAUCGCUUGAACCCGGGAGGAAGAGGUUGCAGUCAGCCGAGAUCGCGCCACUGCACUCCAGCCUGGGCGGCAGAGCGAGACUCCGUCUCAAAAAAACAAAACAACAAAAAAAAAAAAAAGAAAGAAAGAAAAGAAAAAAAAGAAAUACACGUCUACACACAGUUUUAAAACGCAAACAAUCGUUACCUUUAUUACAUGUUCUACCUUCUAUUUUCUGUUCUACUCUUUUGUCGUUUUGAAAAUACUGGUAGUUACCCAUUAAAAUUGUUUUCACGACUCUCAAAUGAGUGGCGACCAACUUUUUUUUUUUUUUUUUUUUUUUUGAGACGGAAUCUAGCUCUGUUGCUCAGGCUGGAGUGCAAUGGCGCGAUCUCGGCUCGCUGCAACCUCCACCUCCCGGGUUCAAGCGAUUCUCCUGCCUCAGCCUCCCGAGUAGCUGGGAUUACAGGCAUGCACCACCAUCCCCGGCUAAUUUUUGUAUUUUUAGUAGAGACGAGGGGGUCACCAUGUUGGCCAGGCUGGUCUCGAACUCCUGACCUCAAGUGAUCCGCCCGCCUCGGCCUCCCAAAGUGCUGGGAUUGCAGGCGUGAGCCACUGCGCCCGGCCCCAACAUGUUUUUCUAAUGCUUAAGGAAACCCGGAGAUAAUAUUCCCAUGUUUUGCCACUUAGUAAAGCAUUUUAUAUGCCUGUGUCAGCGAGCACAUAGCUGCAAGUGUAGCCCAUGGCCAGUCUGUCACUGUGUCCUUGGCAGAAAAAAAGAAUCCAACAAAUCGGUAGGUUUUUAUAUUUAAGACAUGGCACUUGCAUUUUAUUAUGCUGGCGUGCAUCCCCAGCAUUUGGAUAAGGGGCCAAGGUCAAGUCUCUCAGACUGUUGGCUGACAAACAUUAAACCUGGAAAUCCUAACAGAGUGUAUGAAAAACAAUUACAGUCAAGGGAACAUGAUAGAGAAAGCUUCGGUCAUCUUAGAGAAUGCAUAUAUUGCCAUGAAGAGAACAUUGGUUUAAAAAAAAAUGUUCAAGAGAAUGAAAAGACAAGUCACAGACUGGGAGAAAAUACUUGCAAAGUACAUAUCUGAUAAAGAACUGAUAUCCAAAAUAUAUAAGAACUCUUAAAACUCAACAAUAAGGAGACAAACCGAUUAAAAAAAUAGGCCAAAGACCCUAACAGAUGUCACCAAAGAAGAUAUGCAGAUGGAAAAUAAGCAUAUGAAAAGAUGCUCCACAUAUGUCCUCAGUGAAAUGCAAAUUAAAACAAUGGGAUGCCACUAUACACCUGUCAAAAUGGCCAAAAUCCAGAACCCUGACAAUACCAAAUGCUGACAAGGAUGUGGAGCACAGGAACUUUCAUUCAUUGCUGGUGGGAAUGCAAAAUAUUAGAGUUACGUUGGAGGACAGUUUGACAAUUUCUUACAAAACUAAACAUACUCUUACCAUAUGAUCUAGUAAUUGUGUUCCUUGGUAUUUAUGCAAAGGAGUUGAAAAUGUAUGUCCACACAAAACGUGCCCAAGAAUGUUUAUAGCAGCUUUGUUCAUGAUAGGCAAAACUUGGAAGCAGCCAGAUGUCCUUCAGUACAUGAAUGAAUACAUAAACUAUGGUACAUUCAGACAAUGGAACAUUCAGUAAGGAAAAGAAAUGAGCUAUCAAGCUACCAAAAAGGAAGAACAGAAGAAUAUUAAGUGCGUAUUGGUGAGUGAAAGAAGUCAAUCUGGAAAAGGCUAUAUACUGUAUAAUUCCAUCUACAUAACAUUCCUGAAAAGGCUAAUCUAUGGAAACAGCAAAGAUUGGUGGUUGCCAGGGGCUUAGGGGGAGGGAAAAAGGGAAGAAUAAGUGACAUUCAGUGGAUUUUAAGAGGGAAGAAUAAGUGACGUUCAGUGGAUUUUAAGAGGGAAGAAUAAGUGACGUUCAGUGGAUUUUUAAGGCAGUGAAACUAUUCUGUAUGAUAUUGUAAUGGCGAAUACAUGUUGUUAUACAUUUGUUAAAACCCAUAGAAUAUACAGCACAAAGAGUGAACCGUAAUAUAAACUAUGGUCUUUAGUUAAUAAUAAUUUAUCAACAUUGGCUCAUCAAUUUUAACAGAUGUACCACACUAGUGCAAGAUGUUAAUAAUAGAGAAACUGGGGGAGGAGGGGAGAAGGAAGGAGUAUACUGAAACUCUACUUUCUGCUCAAUUUUUCUAUAAACCUAAAACUGUUCCCAAAAUGUUCUAUUAAAUUUAAAAUAUAAGAAUGUUAAAUAUGCUUAUGGUAAGGUCUCAGAAGGAAAUUAAUGACAUGCAAUUAGAAACUGAAGGAAUGGUUAUCUUGUUAUAAAGUGGGAGAGCCUUGGCUGAAUUGUAUUCUAUAUUUGGGUGGAAAACAGAAUUUGUACAUGAUGAACUUGAAUAUUUAGUUAAGAAGACUUCCAAGUAAAAUGUGGAAUGUGCAACCUGGUUAGUUAUUGCUGCUUAUGGUGAAAUGCAUGAGGAAAGAAAUAAACUGAGGAAGGAACUAUUCAGCACAAAGGAACCAGCACUCAUGAUUUGGAAAACUUUUAGCCAUACCUUAUACAAAUGAGGCUUUCAAUACAUGUUGAGGACACAGAAAGAUAUAAUUUUUGUCUUCAGUGACUUCUCUAUAUGUUGCACAAAGUGGCCUCCAACUCCUGACCUCAAGCAAUCCUCCCACCUCGGCCUUCCUAAAUGCUGGGGUUACAGUCCAUAAGCCACUGAACCCAGCCCUCAGAAACCUUUUGUGCUUAAAAAAACACCUCAGCAAAAUACAAAGCAACUAGUGAUAUAUUUGAACUGAAAUUACUAAUCAACUUUGGCUUGUUUUACUGUAACAAUGACUAGGGACUGGCCACAGCUGCAAUCUUACUUGUUUUACUGGGCUGAAAACAAAAACAUAGUAGAAUGGAUCUCAGUAAAGGUAGAGAGUCAGGACUUAGUUGCAGGAAACAAAAACCAGUCCAGUUUCUACUUUAGCCCUAAAUUGGAAACAAAUCAAAUGUCCUUCUAUACUUAAAAAGGCAAAUUGUCAGUUUUUCUUCAAAUACAAGGAAUACAAAGAAAAUACAUUUUUUUUCUACAAAGAAAAAAAAGUUAGCUAGGAGUGGUGGUGCAUGCUUCUAUUCCUAGCUACUCUGGAGGCUGAGGCAGAAGGAUGGCUUGUGCCCAAGAGUUCAGGUUACAGUAAGCUAUGAUGGUGCCACUGCACUCCAGUCUGUGUGAUAGAGUAAGACCCUGAUUCUAAAAUUUUUUUAAAUUUCUUAAAAGAGAUUUGAUAUUUCUUUGGUAUCUAACUUUAUUCAAAGCUGGAGUUGCAAAUGAUUUCAGCAAAAAAAAAUAAAGAUGUGCUUGAUAAAAAUAUGUCCACCAAAUAAAAAGGAUGUGAUAUGCAUUAACUAUGAACAACAAUCUAUAGCACAACUUAUAUUUGUAUGGACACCUGGCUACCCCAUCAAACUGCUUCAUGUCUAUUCCCUCAAAUUAUGGUCUUCCAUAAAACUAGUGAAUUUCUUUUAGUCUUCUUUUGAGCCUGUAGGGGUGAGAGAAUCUUUUUUCUCCCUUCUGGAGGUUGGAUAUUUGAGUCUGAGAAAUAAAGCUGCUAGUAGACAGAUUAACAGAAGAAAAGGCAUACACAUUUAUUAUGCACAUAUGCACAGAGGUCCCAGAAAGUGUAAGUGAGACUCAAAGAAGGGGCAGAUGGUUGAAGCUUAAAUAGGACUUGGAGCUACAUAAAGAAAUAGGAGCUUGAAGGCUCCUGGAAGGUGGUGGCGAGAAGCAAUGUGAGGGUCAGGGCAGGAACAGCUCUGGGAACAAAGCUUGUCUUAUUAUACAGAUAAAGUCUCUCAAGUAGCAGCCCUCAGAAUAGGUGGUGAAGAAAAGAAUUGAAGUCUGGCUGGGCGAGAUGUCCCGGGCAUGGAGACCUUUAGUUUUCUCUCCUGGGAUCUGAGUUAAUCUUCUCUGGUUAAUACAGAUUCCAGGAGAGGGUUCAUGACAAUCUCUUUCCUUCUGGAGGAACCUCCGUAAGUCAAAUAAGGGAAACUUCAGUGAAAGCCCCUCCCUGCCAUUCAAGAAAGAAAGAGGAUCAGGAGGCAGUGGGGCUGCGGAAGGUCAGAGAGACUUUGAUUCUGAGGUUGCUUCUUUAGUUCAAAGUACUCAGCACUUCCAAGAGCCAUACUUUGGGGUAUCAUUUUCUGAGCUCUAACAAGGGUCCUCAGAAAAUCUCUGUCUCUUCCCUUCCCGGUCUUCCUUCGUUUCUCCUCUUCCUCUUCCUCCUCUUCUUUCUCCUUCAUCCUCUUCUUUCUACCUCCUGUCCCUCCUUCCUUUCUCUCUUCUCCUUUCUGGUCACUUUCUUCUUUUCCUCUUCCUUCUUGUCCCUCUUCCUCAUUUAUCUACUUAGUCGACAUGAUUUCUUAGCUUGCGAUUGUUUCCCUCUUUUCUUAGAUUAGUAUAUGGUUCCAAGAAGUAGAUGAAAGCCAAUUACAAUAAUCUGUGCAUCCAAAGGGCUCAGGGAAACUCCAGGACCGGCAGCUUUAGACUUCAAGACGGAAGCAUAAGAGGAAAAGAAAACAUACUGCGUGGGUUAGAUUUUGAGAGAAGGAGCGUCUGCCUUGGCCAAAAAUCAAAGUAGGAUCUUCCUUUUGAUAGGUAACCUGGUUCCAUGGGAACUCAUGAACAAUCUAUAAAUUUCUUUCUUAACCCAACU
rnacentral:lncRNA from 1 species